GGUCAUCUAGUCCAACCCCCUGCUCAAAGCAGGACCAACACCAACUAAAUCAGAGCCUUAGGCAGGUGGGCAGGGGCGGAGUUUGGGGGGGGUUUCUGGGCAGCACCAAAAUUUCUACAACCCUGCCACCCCUGCUGGUGUUGUUCUGUGUGUCUAUGCUGCAGGCAUGCUGUUAGCUGCUGAGGCCCAGAUUUCCACAAAGACAUUGUACAGACAGAAAGAGACAACUUGGAAGGUUGCUUAAAAAGAAAAGAACAGUAGUUUGAUGCUGCUGAGGUGUCUGGAAUGUUGGAAGUAGUCCUGGAGGAGAAAGAUUAGUGGGCAGAAGCCAGCGCACAAGCAUUCACAAUACCAGAUCUGGCAGCAAUGUUGGAAUUUUGCAGCACAGAAGUCAAGGACUGAAGCAGCACGAGAAGAGGACUACCCUAAAAACCCUUACAGCUGAUUUUACCCCCACCGCCCACCUCAAGACUGAGGAUUGUUGGCUGGGUUGGUUUGCAGAUGGAUGGAUUGCUGUCAUCUAUGUGUUACUCAGGUUGUAGCUAAACAGAGGACUUUUGUCUCCAAGACUCAGUUCAGCACCUCUCACAAACACUGAAUACACGUUAAAGUAUUCUUCACAAAAAUGAGAACUUCAGUCUUAGGGCAUGUCUACACUGCCCUGCUGUUUGGACUAAUUUUGAAGAGGACUAUACUAGUGAGAAUUCAGGACCUUUAAGUACAUGCCCACAGCAUCUACCUGGGGGAGUGCAGCACUAUGGUGCGCACUGCUAUUCAUACUCCCUCAAUCUGAACUUCUGGGCAGUGUAGACAUGCCCUUAGAGCCUAUAGCAUUGAGUGGGAGCUUGGAAACAGUUUGAUUCACCCUCAUUAACUGGAAGAAGAGCUGAGGGUCAAAGCAAGAAGAGCAGGGGACACAACCAUGUCUGGGUAAAAUAAUGUACUGUAGGAGCUACUUUCUGUUUCCCUGUCCCACCCCAGCCUGCUCCAGUUCACUGUCCAGUCACCACAGAAUGCUAGAGGGGCAGCCUCAUAAAGGAGAAGGGAAGGGCAAUUCAGUGACUCUAGUGAGCUUUACCCAUGUCCUGACUAUCCCUAUCGUGGCCUGCUUGGGGUCCAUGUCCAAGGGUGGAGGUUUCCUUUUUUUCUAACUCCAGUCCAGUCCCAGCUACAGCUGUUUCUUUCACUGUCUCCCUUCCCUACAAGGCAUCACACGUUAUCUGGUAUAAUCAGCUCCUUUCUUCAGGGCUUGCUCUUGCUUCCUCUUAAGUUUGGCUCUAAUAGUCUCAGUUUCCAAAGAACUACAUUGAAAGGGAGAACUGCAGAUGAGCACAUAAGCCUAAAGGUGGAUUUUGGUUUGGUUUUAACUAACACUAUGAAUGGAGCUGGGGUGAUCAACCGGAGGUAACAACCAUCACAGGGAUGAGUCAUCUGGCUUUCCACCUUCCCCUGUUACAACAAGGUAGAGGGCUUGAGGCAAGUCCCUGGCAAUAGUUGCAAAGCUGGGCAGGGAUUCCCUUUUCCAGCAAAGAGGGCAAUUAUUAGCUGUCGUUACUUGCUCCUUUUUAAUUAGCCUUUGGAUGUGCAUUACAUAAUUCAGUCUCCUUCCCUGUCUCUGAUGGCUCAGUGCUCAAGGUAGCACCAGGGUCACAUGCAUGCUCUCUCUCAUUUUAUUGACUCAUUGAGUCACUCUCCCCCACACAAAUGAUUGUGAUUUGGGUGGGUUAAUUCUCCAAAUAAAAAUUAUCCAAAUAUUCUACACUAAAUUAUAACCUAAACAUAUUAUACUAAAAUUGCAAGUCAUUGUUUGGGUGGAUAAGGUCUAGAUGCAAGUCCGUCUAGCAGUUAAAAUAUGGCACCUCUUCUUGCUCAUCUGUUGGAGCAGGAAGUUUGAGAUAAAAACAGAAGAUCUGGAGACAAGUCAGUAGAGGCCCAAAGUGGCAAUGAGGUAUGAGGAAUUUAGGACAAACUUUUGUUAGGAUUAGCUUAUGUGGGUUGGCUCUAUAUAACCAAAUGCAUGUAUGGUAAUACUAAUAAUGCUUACCAUGUAUACACUGUGUAACAUUUUCAAAGGCCUGUGAUCACACUAAUCAUAAUAAUUAGCUACAUAUAUUUCAUAAUACAAUGCUUUUCUACGGCAUCAUUCACAAAAAGUCCCAGUGAACUUCACAUUUCUGACAUAAUUAAAAGCAGCAUCAGACACAUGCCUCUUCAGUUUUGAUUCAAAAACUAAACCAGAUUCUGAUUUCCGAAUACAUGUAAGAAGCUGAUUCCAUAAUCGUGGGGCAUAAAUACUGAAGGCUCCAGCCACCAAACGUUUCCAAUUUAUAUUUAGGACAAGCCAAUGAAUCAGACUCUGACCUCAAAUUAUGACUGGGAAUGUAAAAUUAAAGUAAAUUGUAAAGAUAUUCUUGACCAAUGUGAAGAAUCUUAUAGGUUAGCAGAAGUACUUUGUAAUCAUCAGGACAAAAAUGUAACUACUAACCAAUGAAAAAUUUCAGCUCCAGGACAUUUUAUUCCAAAGUCCCUGGCUGAAUCUUUUGCCUUUUCCAGUGAGACGGCUGCACUUACUUAUGUAAUGUAGCAGUCUACAGUACAUAUGUUCCGUAUCAGCAAAUUAAUUGAAUUUGUUCACAAGUUCCAGUUACUGGGAUCUCCUUAAACCAACUCAAUGAGACUUGAGAUUGAACUCUGAGUUUUAUUGAUCAUGUCUGCACUGAGUGGUCACAAACCUCACCUUAAGUCCUGCCCCAAACUUCUCAAAUUUGGCCUGGAUUCUCUGGACUUGGCAUCUUAUUUAAUUGUUCCAAAGCCCUUGUCAGGAAUGGACAUUACAUUUACCAGCCUUUAGCUGGGACUAAUACCGUACCUGAACCUAGAACUCAUUUGUUAUUUCCUUACAUAGCUCCAUCUCCUCCUGUACUUUCGAAACAGGCUUCAUUUCUCUGUGUCUCCAUUGUUUUCAUAUAAUGGAAAACAGGUCUUGAAUUUGCUGCUUUUUCAUUUAACAGUUGUCAAGAGGGAAGAGUUGCCUGCCAAAUGCUCCUGUCAUUCCAAUGUAACAGUGUGCUUGAUCUCAACAAAACUAAGUGUCUCACUUUUGAUUGACCAAAUGAUUUAAUACAGAUUGCUUUAAUAAAGUAGUCAGCAUAAUUUAUCCUUAAACCCAGUCUGGUGGAGCUUGCUCACCAGACUUUAAAUUGCUGACAAACAGCUUAUGGUUUGUCACAUUUGGCAAACUCUGUUUAGACAAAGCCCACUCUAGUGUUGGAAUAGAAAUAGGUGUUUUAACUAGAGCUGGGAAAUGCUGGUGGAAAAAAGGCAUGAAAAGUAUGUAAAAAAUGUUCAUGAACUCAUUUUGAUUGGUUUCAUUUGUACAGCUCCCUUACCUCCAUGUGAAUGUGUAUAUCAGUGUUUGUGAAAUCUGGAAGAUUGACGAUUUGCAGUGAGUCAUGUAAAACUUCCAAAAGCUACUUUUCAUGUGUAAAUUCA